AUUGAACGCUGGCGGCAGGCUUAACACAUGCAAGUCGAGCGGGGGAAGGUAGCUUGCUACCGGACCUAGCGGCGGACGGGUGAGUAAUGCUUAGGAAUCUGCCUAUUAGUGGGGGACAACAUCUCGAAAGGGAUGCUAAUACCGCAUACGUCCUACGGGAGAAAGCAGGGGAUGUUCGGACCUGGCGCUCAUAGAUGAGCCUAAGUAGGAUUAGCUAGUUGGUGGGGUAAAGGCCUACCAAGGCGACGAUCUGUAGCGGGUCCGAGAGGAUGAUCCGCCACAAUGGGACUGAGACACGGCCCAGACUCCUACGGGAGGCAGCAGUGGGGAAUAUUGGACAAUGGGGGGAACCCUGAUCCAGACAUGCCGCGUGUGUGAAGAAGGCCUUAUGGUUGUAAAGCACUUUAAGCGAGGAGGAGGCUACUCUAGUUAAUACCUAGGGAUAGUGGACGUUACUCGCAGAAUAAGCACCGGCUAACUCUGUGCCAGCAGCCGCCGUAA
rnacentral:rRNA from 1 species